CAGUAGCCGCGGUAAUACGAGGGGGGCGAGCGUUGUUCGGAAUUAUUGGGCGUAAAGGGUGCGUAGGCGGUUUGGUAAGUCUCAUGUGAAAUCCCCGGGCUCAACCUGGGAAUGGCAGUGGAUACUGGCUCGCUAGAGUGUGUCAGAGGAUGGUGGAAUUCCGCGUGUAGCAGUGAAAUGCGUAGAUAUGCGGAGGAACACCGAUGGCGAAGGCAGCCCCCUGGGCCAACACUGACGCUCAUGCACGAAAGCGUGGGGAGCAAACAGGAUUAGAUACCCGGGUAGUCCCUGUCUCUUAUAU
rnacentral:rRNA from 1 species